GACGAACGCUGGCGGCGUGCUUAACACAUGCAAGUCGAACGGAAAGGCCCUGCUUUUGUGGGGUGCUCGAGUGGCGAACGGGUGAGUAACACGUGAGUAACCUGCCCUUGACUUUGGGAUAACUUCAGGAAACUGGGGCUAAUACCGGAUAGGAGCUCCUGCUGCAUGGUGGGGGUUGGAAAGUUUGGGCGGUUGGGGAUGGACUCGCGGCUUAUCAGCUUGUUGGUGGGGUAGUGGCUUACCAAGGCUUUGACGGGUAGCCGGCCUGAGAGGGUGACCGGCCACAGUGGGGCUGAGAGAGGGCCGAGACUCCGACGGGAGGCAGAAGUGGGGAAUAAUGCACAAUGGGCGGAAGCCUGAUGCAGCAACGCGGCGUGCGGGAUGAAGGCCUUCGGGUUGGAAACCGCUUUCGCGUGUGACGAAGCGUGAGUGACGGUAAUGGGUAAAGAAGCACCGGCUAACUACGUG
rnacentral:rRNA from 1 species